CGCUAAGAAGCUUAAUAGGGUUUUAAGCGUUAGCCUUUUAAGCUAAAGAAUGGUGAUCCCCGACCACCCCUAGCGA
rnacentral:tRNA from 1 species